UGUUUAUCAAAAACAUGUCUUUUUGAGAAUAAUUUAAAGUYUAAUYUGCUCCMUGAAAUAUUUAAAUAGCUGCAGUACUCUGACUGUGCAAAGGUAGCAUAAUCAAUAGUUUUUUAAUUGAAAGCUGGAAUGAAUGAUUUGAUAAGGUAAAUAUUGUCUCAAUUUUAUUAAGAUUAGAAUUUUUUUUUUAGUAAAAAUACUAAAUUAGAUUUAAAAGACGAGAAGACCCUAUAGAUUUUUAUAUUUUUAUAUUAAAAAAAUUUAAAUAAAAUUAAUAAAUUUUAAUUUAAAAAUAUUUAGUUGGGGAAAUUAUUAAAUUUAUUUAAUUUUAAUUAUUAAUAAACAAUAAUUAUUGAAAUGUUGAUCUUAUUUUUUAAAUUAUUAGAAUUAAAUACCUUAGGGAUAACAGCGUAAUUUUUUUAGAGAGAUCUUAUUGAUAAAAAAGUUUGCGACCUCGAUGUUGAAUUAAGAUAAAAUUUUAAUGUAGAAAUUAAAAAUUUUUGGUCUGUUCGACCAUUAAAAUCUUACAUGAUCUGAGUUCAAACCGGAG
rnacentral:rRNA from 1 species